rnacentral:rRNA from 1 species
CCUACGGGAGGCAGCAGUGAGGAAUAUUGGUCAAUGGCCGUAAGGCUGAACCAGCCAAGUCGCGUGAAGGAUGAAGGACCUAUGGUUUGUAAACUUCUUUUAUAGGGGAAUAAAGGUAUCCACGUGUGGAUAUUUGUAUGUACCCUAUGAAUAAGCAUCGGCUAACUCCGUGCCAGCAGCCGCGGUAAUACGGAGGAUGCGAGCGUUAUCCGGAUUUAUUGGGUUUAAAGGGCGCGUAGGUUGUUUUUUAAGUCAGCGGUGAAAGUUUGUGGCUCAACCGUAAAAUUGCCGUUGAUACUGGAAGACUUGAGUGCAGUUGAGGUAGGCGGAAUGCGUGGUGUAGCGGUGAAAUGCAUAGAUAUCACGAAGAACUCCGAUUGCGAAGGCAGCUUACUAGGCCGUAACUGACACUGAUGCGCGAAAGCGUGGGGAUCAAACAGGAUUAGAUACCCGUGUAGUC